rnacentral:misc_RNA from 1 species
GGUGCCUUCAUUGUGCUACCAAAAGAAGGGGAUAAAAGAGAAGAUAUUCCACCAGUAGAUAAGGAUGUGGUGUUUUUGGCCCAGGACUGGCAGGCUGCCGCGAGUGACAUAGAAGUCGUGAAGGAAAUGGCGUGGCUCAUGUACUCUUUUUCAAAAAGUAGCGGGAAAUUGGGAACUCAAAUGAGAACGUAUGAUGGCUCCAUUUCAAGCCUAACUCAUCCAAUCAGCAGGGCCCUUGUAAACGGCAAAACCAAAUCAUUUUCUGCAAGCGACACUGAGAACGAGAAAGCAGUUCCAAUGGAAAUUUUCAAUGUGACUCAAAAUGGCUCUUUACUUCUUCGGAUAAUACAAACAGGGAUGACAGGGGAAUACAAAAUCUCCAUCGACCAGCACAAACUUCUUCUAGUGGGUUCUGAUGGCGGUGAUUUAAUUCCAACAUGGAUUGAUUACCUCAUCAUCAACCCUGGAGAAACCUAUGACGUCAUGGUAUUUGGGAACAACACCCCGGGAAACUAUUGGAUUCGCCUCGAGACAACAGAAGUUCUCGAUUUCUUUUAUAAUCCAGUCCAACCAAACGUGAGUUUUGCGCAGCUUCACUAUCAGGAAGCGGAAGAAGCUCUUCCGGACUCGGAGAAAAGGGAGUGCACUGUGUCGGAACCGUGUGUGAUGGCUAAUUGUCACUGGAGUCCCGAUGCUUUAAAACGCUGGGAGCCAAAUACAAAAUGUGUGCCAAUCAACGAAGUGAAAUCAACUCCGAAGAGCGUUGCCCAAGUACCCGUUCCGAUACCAACCUCUGAGAACGACUUGCAGGAAGUCUUUUUAAACUUUCAUUUUUCCGGAAGUGACCUAAUUAGCCCUCGACCGGCCGUAAACACCAUCCAUUACAAGGGUCCCCCUGUUCCUCUUCAGUUAUAUCCGAAUAUCGUAAAUGAUCAGACUGUGGUGUGCAACAACCAGGACAUGACUACCUGUGGGGACUACUGUCAGUGUACGCACGUCGUCAAACUGUCCACGUCCAAAGUCACACAGAUUGUGCUCAUGGCCGAAGACGGUUUAUCGACGGGAACUGCACAUCCGGUUCAUCUCCAUGGCAAUCGUUAUUACGUUGUUAAAUAUGGAGUAGGUGUCAUCAACGAGACCAGUGGAUUGCUGCAAGGCCCGAACCAGGACAUCGAAUACUCUCCAGAUUACAGAUCUGCAAAAUGGCGCAACUCUAGUUGGAACAAUGGAAAUAUUCCCGACAUGAACGUGAAAGAUCCGCCCCUGAAGGAUACGGUUGUGAUUCCAUAUAAAGGAUAUGUUGUUCUCCGGCUAAAAACGGAAAAUCCAGGUUUCUGGCUUAUGCAUUGUCAUUUGGAAACCCAUAUGAGUGUUGGUAUGGCUGUUGUUAUUCAAGUUGGAGAUCCUAUGGAAAUGCCCAAGCUUCCGGACAACUUUCCAAUGUGUUCCAGUUAUCCUGCUUAUAACGAGCCCGAUUCCAAAUCAAAGUCGGGCUCGGGUGAAAAGUCAGGAUCCAACCAUAUGGAGGAUGAUGCUUUGUUACAGCUUCCAAGUACAGAUGGAGGUAGCACCAAAUCACAAAGUGUUAGGAACAGUUACCAUAGAGACGACUACAGCAUUAUGAACAUCAGCGUGGGUUGGUUUGUGUUGAUGAUGAUUUUAAUGGUCCUAUUUGUGUUUGGGUUUUGCGCUCUUUCCUUGGUGUUGAUAAGCAGACAUUGCACCUGGACUUUCCCGGCUCGUAGUCGGCGUGGAUACCAUGACAUUGAUACGGAGGAACGGGUCGUAUUUUCAAAAUGAUCAUGUUUUUUUCUAGUAUUUCGGAAUUAUUGUGAAUGGAUUUUCUCUCCAAUGAUUACAUGUAGCAUUCCCGGUUUUCCACGCUAUAAAAAGUGUCAUUUACGCAAAUAAAAUAUUGCUUAGAUUUUAGUUUCUCCAACAAAAUUACAAGCUUAAGGCACAUGCGCUGAUCUAGAAAAUCUAUAAAUUGACAAACUGAGUUUCUCAAAUGGCAAAUAAAUUUAAUUAGCCAACUACUGCGGCAGUAAUUGACAAUGCAGAAGUGCAUGUUAUAUUGUUAUUUCAUCUUUUUUUAUACCUUUUAAACUUCAUCAUGAUUUUUUUUUGCUGUAUCUUAGAUCAUGUUUUUAUUUUUUUAUUUACUUUUUUUCAUACAGUGUACUCGUUUUAUUGUAAUAUGCUUGUGUUAUAAUUAUACAAAUAUAUAACCAUAGUGUAGUUUGCUAUAUUUAAGAGCUUGAUUCGACUGCUGUUGUAUUAUUUAUUUAUUUUUUGCUUACAACUUUGCACAUCAUUAACACAGUAUAUUGUCUAUUAAAAAGCAUUCUUACAAUGCAUUUAAUAUUCAAACGAUGGGAUAUAGGGCAUUGACAUUACUAAAGUCAUGCAAUUAAAAUCACGGAGAACAACACAGUUGUUAUUUGUGUGUAUAUGUAUGUGAAAUUACUGAGGCAAAUUAAAAUAAUUAUCAUGAAUGUU